CUCUAGCUCUGCUUGCAGAACUGCUAACUCACUUUUAGCUCUCUUAUCUUCCAUGUUCGACGAUAUUCCAUCAUCAACCAAGGAUUGAUCACUGCUAGUAUUGGUAGUAAGAAGAUUCAAACCAGUGUUUACGUCAAACUCCAAUCGGGUAGGACUCUUAAGUUCUUUAAAACCAUGGGUUAAGUUAUUAGAAGGCUUAACUUCAUCAUGCUCUUUCUCUGCAAAAAAAUCCAUUUCA
rnacentral:misc_RNA from 1 species